rnacentral:tRNA from 1 species
AAAAAGGUAAGCUAAUUAAAGCUGGUGGGCUCAUACCUCACUUAUAAAGGACUUCCUUUCCUCUUUA